AAACAAUCAAUGGUCAUCAAUAUUUCAAUUUUAAGCAGAAGGCAGUAGGUAAGCCUUUUAGACUGGCGGUUACCUGCGGCACUACUACUUAUAACUGAAAGAGACCCCUGGAAUAGUAAGAUCAGAAUGACGACUUUUGCCUUCCCAUUCAAUCCUUUUAUAACAGUGCUAGAGAGCCGAGAGAAAAAAAGAAAUAUCGUGCUGGAAGCUGUGCACACAAAGAUUGCUACAGUGGCUCUCUCGUUUUCUCGGCGUCUCUCUAUUCACCAUACUAUUUCCGGGAUGUAGGGGGGUGCCACGACUAUUAUUAGUAGGGGCCUGUAUAUGCAUAUGAUUUUAUAAUAAUAAAAGAAUCCCCGCUGUG
ensembl:ncRNA W02B12.17 ncRNA